ACCCGCACAAGCGGUGGAUGAUGUGGAUUAAUUCGAUGCAACGCGAAAAACCUUACCUACCCUUGACAUGUCUGGAAGGCCGAAGAGAUUUGGCUGUGCUCGCAAGAGAACCGGAACACAGGUGCUGCAUGGCUGUCGUCAGCUCGUGUCGUGAGAUGUUGGGUUAAGUCCCGCAACGAGCGCAACCCUUGUCAUUAGUUGCUACGAAAGGGCACUCUAAUGAGACUGCCGGUGACAAACCGGAGGAAGGUGGGGAUGACGUCAAGUCCUCAUGGCCCUUAUGGGUAGGGCUUCACACGUCAUACAAUGGUCGGGACAGAGGGUCGCCAACCCGCGAGGGGGAGCCAAUCCCAGAAACCCGAUCGUAGUCCGGAUUGCAGGCUGCAACCCGCCUGCGUGAAGCCGGAGUUGCUAGUAACCGCAGGUCAGCUAUACUGCGGUGAAUACGUUCCCGGGGCUU
rnacentral:rRNA from 1 species